CAUCAACAGGUGUUCAAGCACCGACAGCAAAGCUAGAGGCUAUUGUCCCCAGUCAGAUCAAAGCUGGAAACUUCAUUAGUGGCCCUAGAGAUCAAAGGAACCUCAAAAGCUGAUGCCACUUUUCUUAAGAGCUAUGUCUAAUUAUCUGUUGCUAUGAAUUUUGCUAUGUGCGGAUGUCGAGCCUUUGUGAUGCAACAAAAAAACGAGACCACCUCCUUAGUGUUCUAAGACUGCUUUGUUAUAAAAUUAUGUACUACGUAUUUGGUCAUCCACUGUCCCUGGGCGAGACUGUUUCAUGUAGGUUACUGGAUACCUUUUUUUUCGAAAGAUCCGUUACCGGCUUUCAUUGAUCUAGAAAAGGGCAAGUUACAGUAUGAGUUAGCGGCACAAGGCGCGCCGCUAAUACAAAUUGUUCAGGAACCAAAGAAUGGUCCCAAGCCACCCCUGAAUCUCUAAUAUUGAUUUACAUUAGUAAAAUAAGACAACAAGUAAAAACAAGUUUUCUAAGCGGGAGCCGUCGUUGUCGACCGAUGUUGAAUGAGCUGCACUAGGCCUUUGUUCCUUGCAGUUAUGCAGUUCCGCACUGCAUCAUGGAUGGAGUGUACAAUCUGCUGGACCGUGUUGGCAGUUUUCUUGAAAACCCUGUUGUUCCUUUCCAACCAUAGCUCCCAGAUGGCAAUGACGAUUACCGAACCCACUCCAGGACGAGCAGACUUUGAAGUGUCAGCAAUCAGCGCAACAAACCAGUCUUGCAAGUUUUCCUCUUGAGUCCAGUUUUCAGGCAUCAGGGAGGGAACCUGAAUCCAAAUCCCCACAUGCUUCCAGAUUUCCUUGGCCGUUGGGCAUUCGCAGAAGAGAUGAUGUGCAGUUUCCAAAUUUCUUAGGCAUAAUUGACAGAAAUAUUCGUUUGGCCAUCCCCUGACCUGUAGACGGGCUGCUGUCCAGACUCUAUUUUGUAGCAGUAGCCAAAGGAAGAAUUUGCAUUUAGGAGGCGCCUUGAUCUUCCAUAGCUGCAUUGCAUGCUCGCACUUGGUUUUUGCAAUGAAAUGUGCAGCAUAAGCAGAACUAGCUGAGUAGACGCCAUCAGAUGUGAACACCCAGGUGAUGGUGUCUUCUUGAGAAUCUACGAGCGUUAUGUCUUCCAGCAACUCCCAAAGUUCAAUGUAUUGGACAAUGAUCUGUUGUGUUAAGCUGUGGUCAAUAUCACUGAUCCAUCUAUUGUCAGUGAGCGCUUGCGCCACGGACCUAUUUUUCCUUUUGCUAUGCUUGUACAGCUGCGGAAAGCGUGUAGCCAGAGCUUGACCACUGAGCCAUCUUGAUUUCCAGAAGGAAGCUCUCUUGCCAUUUCCAAGCUGGAUAACUGUGGCAGCAUUGAAAAAUGCACUAUCCUCCUCAGUUACACGAAUUUCUAGGCCUUCCCAAGGUCUUGGUCUUUCUUCCCAACUAAACCAUAACCAUCUGAGCCUAAGUGACCGGCUAAAAUAAUCCAGGUCUUUGAUGCCGAGACCACCAUUAGGCUUAGGUGUACAGACUCUUGGCCAUGCCACCUUACAUUUUCCACCGGUGAGCUCCCCAUCACCAGCCCAUAGGAAUUUCUUUCUCAUUUUAUCAAUUUCCUUCAAGAAUUGUUUUGGCGCCUUGAUAACAGUUAGUAGAUACACUGGCAGCGAGCUGAGCACUGAUUUCACCAGCUCCCGCCGGCCCGCAAUAUUGACAAGCUUCCCUUGCCAUCCAGCUAGCUUGCUCUUUGCUCUAUCUUGUAUGUAUUGCAAGUGUACCAACCUCGUUCGCCCAAUAGUGAGAGGUAGACCCAGGUAUUGGAUGGGGAAGGAUACUCUACUUCCUGUGAAGUCACAGAGUAUUUUAUCCAUGUUCAAGUCAGCACACCUGAUAGUAGCCACUGAGCUUUUUGCCAUGUUUAUGUUCAGGCCAGUAGCUUCUCCGAACGCCUUCAUUGUCCUCAUGAUGCAGGCAAUAUCUUCCUUAACUGGGUUGGUGAAAAUCAUGACAUCAUCCGCGUAUAGCGAGAGGCGAAGCCUGGCUUGUCGUCCUUUUAGUGGUGAUAAGUGUCCUUCCUCAGUGGCAAUAUCAAAGAUCCUGCUCAGAGCAUCCAUCGCCAAGAUGAAUAAGUAAGGUGACAGCGGGUCGCCCUGUCUUAACCCCCGCGCAUGCAUCAGCUUUGGACCUGCGCUCCCAUUUAGCAUAACUCUUGAUGAUGAGAAUCUGAGCAUUGCUGUUAACCAGUUCGUCCACCUUGUACUGGGAUACCUUUUAUAUAUGCCUCAUGUAAUACAUAUGUAGUGUAUGAAAAUCUUGUGUGUCAUCUUCAUUAUUUGUCAACG
rnacentral:lncRNA from 1 species